GGUUGUAGGACUUGAGAGUUUUGCUCAUUCACUGUAGGCAUUGUUGGCACAGAUUGCACAGAAGGUUGAUUAUACCAGUUGUUUGCUGGUGAUUGCUGCCACUAUAAUGGAUUGUACAUUUGCACCGGUGGCGGUGUAGUUUGAAGACCUGGGCUUGGUGUUGCCGUUGGGGUUCUUCUUUUCAUCCACGACAUAAUUUAACAAUUAUUUUUUACUCUGGAAGCAUACAACAAAAAAUUAAAUAAUGUGUAACAAGUUCGUACUAGUACCGCAUAUUUAAUUUCACAAAUGUUUAUGUAUCUGGUACCUAAAUAAGCACUUAAACUACAUUGUAACAAAAGGCAACAGAGAACAAAAGGUGAUUUUCUGCUUGAUUCUGGCUUGAUCUGUAACUAUUUACGCCAUCAAUCAAAUCUUGGCACAAACACAAGCACAACAAAAUCUGGAAUUUAAUAAAGCACCCGAUGUUAUUGUA